rnacentral:rRNA from 1 species
UACGAAGGGGGCUAGCGUUGCUCGGAAUCACUGGGCGUAAAGCGCACGUAGGCGGAUACUUAAGUCAGGGGUGAAAUCCCGGGGCUCAACCCCGGAACUGCCUUUGAUACUGGGUAUCUCGAGUCCGGAAGAGGUGAGUGGAAUUCCGAGUGUAGAGGUGAAAUUCGUAGAUAUUCGGAGGAACACCAGUGGCGAAGGCGGCUCACUGGUCCGGUACUGACGCUGAGGUGCGAAAGCGUGGGGAGCAAACAGG